rnacentral:lncRNA from 1 species
CUAGGUGAGUAAUCAAUGUCACUAGAUCCUGACUCUUUAUUAAAAAGUUUUCCUAUUACAAUAGGCUAGAAAGAGAAAAAAUACAUACUUCAUUGUGUUAAUUUUUACUUCCCUUAUUACAGAGAAUGGUUAUUUCUCAUGGUUAUUUUAUACUUUUCCUUUGUGAGUCAUCUGUUCAUUAUCUUUAUCUGUUCAUCUAUUAAAGCUUCUUUUUUAUUGAUUUGUAAGAGGCGAUCUCUUUUACUCAUAAA